GUGUGUAACUAACACCCUCUUUCUUAGUCUGGAUCGGCAAAAGUCGAAAAGCCAAAAUGCCGAAAACCGGUAUUUUGUAGAUUUGCGAGUGUGCGAAUGCUCGUGAGGUAAUCCCCAACCAUAGUGGGCUUGGAGCUGUGAGGGAAUUCGGAGUGGCCACCCGUUCUGAAAGUUUGAUUUUCUUCUGAUGAACUGGACAUCCUUUUAUUUACGUUUGAAGUUUUGGGUUUUUAAAUGUAAUAAGGCCGCUUAAUUAUUUUUGAUGGUUUUAAUAUGUAUUACUAAAA